rnacentral:rRNA from 1 species
GAUGAACGCUGGCGGCGUGCCUAAUACAUGCAAGUCGAACGGUCGGUCGCAAGGCCGAUAGUGGCGAACGGGUGAGUAACGCGUUGGUGACCUGCCCAAUAGUGGGGGAUACCAGGCCGAAAGGCCUGCUAAUACCGCAUGAGCUCGGAGGCGAUUAGAAAUCUUCGAGGAAAGCCGAAAGGCGCUAAUGGAGGGGCCUGCGUCCCAUCAGCUAGUUGGUAGGGUAAAGGCCUACCAAGGCUACGACGGAUAGGGGGCCUGAGAGGGUGGCCCCCCACACUGGCACUGAAACACGGGCCAGACACCUACGGGAGGCUG